UGCUUCGCUGACGAGUGGCGGACGGGUGAGUAAUGUCUGGGAAACUGCCUGAUGGAGGGGGAUAACUACUGGAAACGGUGGCUAAUACCGCAUAACGUCGCAAGACCAAAGAGGGGGACCUUCGGGCCUCUUGCCAUCAGAUGUGCCCAGAUGGGAUUAGCUAGUUGGUGAGGUAACGGCUCACCAAGGCGACGAUCCCUAGCUGGUCUGAGAGGAUGACCAGCCACACUGGAACUGAGACACGGUCCAGACUCCUACGGGAGGCAGCAGUGGGGAAUAUUGCACAAUGGGCGCAAGCCUGAUGCAGCCAUGCCGCGUGUAUGAAGAAGGCCUUCGGGUUGUAAAGUACUUUCAGCGGGGAGGAAGGUGUUGUGGUUAAUAACCGCAGCAAUUGACGUUACCCGCAGAAGAAGCACCGGCUAACUCCGUGCCAGCAGCCGCGGUAAUACGGAGGGUGCAAGCGUUAAUCGGAAUUACUGGGCGUAAAGCGCACGCAGGCGGUCUGUCAAGUCGGAUGUGAAAUCCCCGGGCUCAACCUGGGAACUGCAUUCGAAACUGGCAGGCUUGAGUCUUGUAGAGGGGGGUAGAAUUCCAGGUGUAGCGGUGAAAUGCGUAGAGAUCUGGAGGAAUACCGGUGGCGAAGGCGGCCCCCUGGACAAAGACUGACGCUCAGGUGCGAAAGCGUGGGGAGCAAACAGGAUUAGAUACCCUGGUAGUCCACGCCGUAAACGAUGUCUACUUGGAGGUUGUGCCCUUGAGGCGUGGCUUCCGGAGCUAACGCGUUAAGUAGACCGCCUGGGGAGUACGGCCGCAAGGUUAAAACUCAAAUGAAUUGACGGGGGCCCGCACAAGCGGUGGAGCAUGUGGUUUAAUUCGAUGCAACGCGAAGAACCUUACCUGGUCUUGACAUCCACAGAACUUUCCAGAGAUGGAUUGGUGCCUUCGGGAACUGUGAGACAGGUGCUGCAUGGCUGUCGUCAGCUCGUGUUGUGAAAUGUUGGGUUAAGUCCCGCAACGAGCGCAAC
rnacentral:rRNA from 1 species